rnacentral:lncRNA from 1 species
CUUUUUGGACUUCUUUUUGAAUUUCUUGUUCUUUAACUUUUUUAUUUUUUUCCAUUUCUUGAUUAUCCAUAUCUCUUGAAUUUGCAUCUUUAUUGCUAACAUCCAUUUCUUCAUUAACAGGUUUCGAACUUUUCUCCAAGGAUUUAAUUAAAUCUACCUUUCCUUCUUCAUUUAUAACCACACCAGCAUUGAAUUUCUGGCCUUUAUUGCUUUUCUUUGUUACUAACGUGAAUCCAUCAUCAUCCAUUUUCUCUUUUUUUCCAUUUUCUUCUCUGUUAACAGCAACAUCAGCUACAUUAUCAUUUUUUUUCCCAUUUAGAAUCCCACAAUUACUAUUUUUAUGCCCAUAAACUUUGCAGUGAUUACAAACAUCAGGCCUCCACGCAUACUCUAUCCUGCAUUUUGAUUCAACUUUUUCUCCUGUCCCAAAAUCAAUUGAGACCACACUUAAUUCUUUCAUCCAUUCUGUUUCUGCUGACAUUUCCACAAGAAAUCGCAUAAAUGCUGGCCUUCCCCAAUGUUCAUUACACAUUUUUUGAGUUAUUUUAUCCAUAGCAAUUGGUUUCCCAAUCUCAUUUGCAAUCAAAGUAAUUCCUUUGCUGUUCCAAUACUCCAAAGGUACAUUAAACACUUUAACCCAAACAGGAACUGAAUUAAUUUGUGGUUUACUCAGAACUAAACCUGGCCUCCAUCUUUGAACAAACAUAGGAACAUUGUUAAUCAGCCAUGGCCCUCCCUCCAGCACAUUCAUCAUUCCUUCCUUAGAAUCAAACUUAAAGAAAAAAAAUCCUUCAUCAUUUACCAUUAUAUCCUUUAGCCCAUAUGUCUUCCACAUCUUAAAAGUGAAAUGAUUAACAGUUGGAAACGCAAGUUUUUUCCCCACAAAAAACCCAUACAAAGUAGCAUGAUAAGGAGCUCCACCCAACAUUAAAUCUGCAUAAGGCAACUCAACUUUCCCCUUAGGCUUUCCAUCAUCUUUUGGAAUUACUUUGAUAUUAAGAUCCACUGCAGUGAUUGUUGAUUCAACCAUACGAGCAUAAGAUUUUUUAUUGUAAUCACUAACCAACUUAGCUGCAGGGGAUAUAACAGGUUUGGAAAAAUCCACGUUCAAGAAAUUUGCUCCCUGUUCCUUCUUCAUAUCAUUACCAGAAUCAACUUCCAAAUUACCAUUCUCAUUCAUAGAAUCUUUCAUAUCUUCAUCAAUACAAUUAGUAGGACUACUAAUUGGGUUAAUAGGAUUAUCUUCAGAGACUAAAAUGGUACCUGAUAUAACAGGAGCAACUUGCGAUAAGGGGGACUUUCCCAAAAUGGCCUUGACAUUUUUUUUUUCAGUUACAGCUCCAAUCACUGAAGAAGACGAAGCAUUCUCCAUAAUCUUCGAAACAUUGAGAACCUUGGAGGAAAUCGAUUCAUCAACAGGCAUCUGAAUCGAAACUCUAUUAGCGCUAACAUUUUCCUUAGAAGAAAUAAAUCCCUCAAGCAUGUCUGAUGUUACUGGAAGCAUAACAAAUCCUUUUUCCUCAACCAUUUCAUUCUUCAAUUUAGACACCCCAACUGUUUUGUUUUUAUUCUGUGAUUCCAAUUUCUUCUCAUUCGCGAUCGCUUUUUCAAAUGCAUCUAGCUCCGAUUUAAUGAAUUCUGGAUCAACAUUUUCUUUUCCAUACCCAGAUUUGAUUACUUCACGAACUCCAGCUCUCAGCACGACCUUCGACCUUUCAAUUGGUGAUUUCGAACUCAAAUACUUCUUUUCUUCCAAAAUUCUAAAAGCCUUAGAUUCCAUUUUUCCAUUCAAUCGAAGUGGCUUCUCCCCAGCAUAGGGAGAAAUUUCCUUGUGCACAGCUCUUCUGCCUCUUCUUUUAGCUCCAACAUCAGCAUCCAAAUCGUCUUCAUAAACUUUUAGAUUCCAUUUUUCCUUUCAAUCGAAGUGGCUUCUCCCCAGCAUAGGGAGAAAUUUCCUUGUGCACAGCUCUUCUGCCUCUUCUUUUAGCUCCAACAUCAGCAUCCAAAUCGUCUUCAUAAACUUUUAGAUUAUCUGGAUCGGGAGGAUCUGUGUAAUUCAUUCCGAACAUCAGCAUCCAAAUCCCUAUGCUGUGGCUUCUCCCCAGCAUAGGGAUAAAUUUCCUUGCUUCGAUCUUCUUUUUGGACUUCUUUUUGAAUUUCUUGUUCUUUAACUUUUUUAUUUUUUUUCCAUUUCUUGAUUAUCCAUAUCUCUUGAAUUUGCAUCUUUAUUGCUAACAUCCAUUUCUUCAUUAACAGGUUUCGAACUUUUCUCCAAGGAUUUAAUUAAAUCUACCUUUCCUUCUUCAUUUAUAACCACACCAGCAUUGAAUUUCUGGCCUUUAUUGCUUUUCUUUGUUACUAACGUGAAUCCAUCAUCAUCCAUUUUCUCUUUUUUUCCAUUUUCUUCUCUGUUAACAGCAACAUCAGCUACAUUAUCAUUUUUUUUCCCAUUUAGAAUCCCACAAUUACUAUUUUUAUGCCCAUAAACUUUGCAGUGAUUACAAACAUCAGGCCUCCACGCAUACUCUAUCCUGCAUUUUGAUUCAACUUUUUCUCCUGUCCCAAAAUCAAUUGAGACCACACUUAAUUCUUUCAUCCAUUCUGUUUCUGCUGACAUUUCCACAAGAAAUCGCAUAAAUGCUGGCCUUCCCCAAUGUUCAUUACACAUUUUUUGAGUUAUUUUAUCCAUAGCAAUUGGUUUCCCAAUCUCAUUUGCAAUCAAAGUAAUUCCUUUGCUGUUCCAAUACUCCAAAGGUACAUUAAACACUUUAACCCAAACAGGAACUGAAUUAAUUUGUGGUUUACUCAGAACUAAACCUGGCCUCCAUCUUUGAACAAACAUAGGAACAUUGUUAAUCAGCCAUGGCCCUCCCUCCAGCACAUUCAUCAUUCCUUCCUUAGAAUCAAACUUAAAGAAAAAAAAUCCUUCAUCAUUUACCAUUAUAUCCUUUAGCCCAUAUGUCUUCCACAUCUUAAAAGUGAAAUGAUUAACAGUUGGAAACGCAAGUUUUUUCCCCACAAAAAACCCAUACAAAGUAGCAUGAUAAGGAGCUCCACCCAACAUUAAAUCUGCAUAAGGCAACUCAACUUUCCCCUUAGGCUUUCCAUCAUCUUUUGGAAUUACUUUGAUAUUAAGAUCCACUGCAGUGAUUGUUGAUUCAACCAUACGAGCAUAAGAUUUUUUAUUGUAAUCACUAACCAACUUAGCUGCAGGGGAUAUAACAGGUUUGGAAAAAUCCACGUUCAAGAAAUUUGCUCCCUGUUCCUUCUUCAUAUCAUUACCAGAAUCAACUUCCAAAUUACCAUUCUCAUUCAUAGAAUCUUUCAUAUCUUCAUCAAUACAAUUAGUAGGACUACUAAUUGGGUUAAUAGGAUUAUCUUCAGAGACUAAAAUGGUACCUGAUAUAACAGGAGCAACUUGCGAUAAGGGGGACUUUCCCAAAAUGGCCUUGACAUUUUUUUUUCCAGUUACAGCUCCAAUCACUGAAGAAGACGAAGCAUUCUCCAUAAUCUUCGAAACAUUGAGAACCUUGGAGGAAAUCGAUUCAUCAACAGGCAUCUGAAUCGAAACUCUAUUAGCGCUAACAUUUUCCUUAGAAGAAAUAAAUCCCUCAAGCAUGUCUGAUGUUACUGGAAGCAUAACAAAUCCUUUUUCCUCAACCAUUUCAUUCUUCAAUUUAGACACCCCAACUGUUUUGUUUUUAUUCUGUGAUUCCAAUUUCUUCUCAUUCGCGAUCGCUUUUUCAAAUGCAUCUAGCUCCGAUUUAAUGAAUUCUGGAUCAACAUUUUCUUUUCCAUACCCAGAUUUGAUUACUUCACGAACUCCAGCUCUCAGCACGACCUUCGAUCUUUCAAUUGGUGAUUUCGAACUCAAAUACUUCUUUUCUUCCAGAAUUCUAAAAGCCUUAGAUUCCAUUUUUCCUUUCAAUCGAAGUGGCUUCUCCCCAGCAUAGGGAGAAAUUUCCUUGUGCACAGCUCUUCUGCCUCUUCUUUUAGCUCCAACAUCAGCAUCCAAAUCGUCUUCAUAAACUUUUAGAUUAUCUGGAUCGGGAGGAUCUGUGUAAUUCAUUCCGAACAUCAGCAUCCAAAUCCCUAUGCUGUGGCUUCUCCCCAGCAUAGGGAUAAAUUUCCUUGCUUCGAUCUUCUUUUUGGACUUCUUUUUGAAUUUCUUGUUCUUUAACUUUUUUAUUUUUUUUCCAUUUCUUGAUUAUCCAUAUCUCUUGAAUUUGCAUCUUUAUUGCUAACAUCCAUUUCUUCAUUAACAGGUUUCGAACUUUUCUCCAAGGAUUUAAUUAAAUCUACCUUUCCUUCUUCAUUUAUAACCACACCAGCAUUGAAUUUCUGCCCUUUAUUGCUUUUCUUUGUUACUAACGUGAAUCCAUCAUCAUCCAUUUUCUCUUUUUUUCCAUUUUCUUCUCUGUUAACAGCAACAUCAGCUACAUUAUCAUUUUUUUUCCCAUUUAGAAUCCCACAAUUACUAUUUUUAUGCCCAUAAACUUUGCAGUGAUUACAAACAUCAGGCCUCCACGCAUACUCUAUCCUGCAUUUUGAUUCAACUUUUUCUCCUGUCCCAAAAUCAAUUGAGACCACACUUAAUUCUUUCAUCCAUUCUGUUUCUGCUGACAUUUCCACAAGAAAUCGCAUAAAUGCUGGCCUUCCCCAAUGUUCAUUACACAUUUUUUGAGUUAUUUUAUCCAUAGCAAUUGGUUUCCCAAUCUCAUUUGCAAUCAAAGUAAUUCCUUUGCUGUUCCAAUACUCCAAAGGUACAUUAAACACUUUAACCCAAACAGGAACUGAAUUAAUUUGUGGUUUACUCAGAACUAAACCUGGCCUCCAUCUUUGAACAAACAUAGGAACAUUGUUAAUCAGCCAUGGCCCUCCCUCCAGCACAUUCAUCAUUCCUUCCUUAGAAUCAAACUUAAAGAAAAAAAAUCCUUCAUCAUUUACCAUUAUAUCCUUUAGCCCAUAUGUCUUCCACAUCUUAAAAGUGAAAUGAUUAACAGUUGGAAACGCAAGUUUUUUCCCCACAAAAAACCCAUACAAAGUAGCAUGAUAAGGAGCUCCACCCAACAUUAAAUCUGCAUAAGGCAACUCAACUUUCCCCUUAGGCUUUCCAUCAUCUUUUGGAAUUACUUUGAUAUUAAGAUCCACUGCAGUGAUUGUUGAUUCAACCAUACGAGCAUAAGAUUUUUUAUUGUAAUCACUAACCAACUUAGCUGCAGGGGAUAUAACAGGUUUGGAAAAAUCCACGUUCAAGAAAUUUGCUCCCUGUUCCUUCUUCAUAUCAUUACCAGAAUCAACUUCCAAAUUACCAUUCUCAUUCAUAGAAUCUUUCAUAUCUUCAUCAAUACAAUUAGUAGGACUACUAAUUGGGUUAAUAGGAUUAUCUUCAGAGACUAAAAUGGUACCUGAUAUAACAGGAGCAACUUGCGAUAAGGGGGACUUUCCCAAAAUGCCCUUGACAUUUUUUUUUUCAGUUACAGCUCCAAUCACUGAAGAAGACGAAGCAUUCUCCAUAAUCUUCGAAACAUUGAGAACCUUGGAGGAAAUCGAUUCAUCAACAGGCAUCUGAAUCGAAACUCUAUUAGCGCUAACAUUUUCCUUAGAAGAAAUAAAUCCCUCAAGCAUGUCUGAUGUUACUGGAAGCAUAACAAAUCCUUUUUCCUCAACCAUUUCAUUCUUCAAUUUAGACACCCCAACUGUUUUGUUUUUAUUCUGUGAUUCCAAUUUCUUCUCAUUCGCGAUCGCUUUUU